AAAGACUCCAUCAUGAUUCUGCAGACACAGCUGGAUUCGGCCAUACAGAAAGAGAAGAACUGCUUCCAGAACAUGGUCAGUAAAGAAACUUACGAGGAACUUCUGCGGAAGUCAGGCACCUGCCAAGACGACCUGACACAGGCCCUGGAGAAGCUCACACAGGCAACCUCCGAGACAAAGAGCCUGCAGCGCAACUUGCAACAGACCCAGGAGAGGAAAGCUCAGCUGGAAGAUGAAAUCAUGGCUUAUGAGGAAAGGAUGAAAAAGCUCAAUAUGGAAUUAAAAAAACUGCAGGGCUUCCAACAGCAGAGUGAGCUAGAGCCGAGCCUUAUGCCUUCAAAGCCAGCACCCAAAGAGAACUAUAGGCACCACCGGGAGAAUGACCAGAUUAUGUGCAAUGUGGAACAGUGGGCAAAGGAGCAGAAGCUUGCCAAUGAGAAACUGGGAAACAAGCUGCGAGAACAGGUUAAAUACAUUGCCAAGCUGACUGGUGAAAAGGACCACCUCCACAAUGUGAUGGUCCAUCUGCAGCAGGAGAACAAGAAGCUGAAGAACGAGAUUGAAGAGAAGAAGCUAAAGGCUGGGAACCCGAGGAUCUGUGCCAAG
rnacentral:lncRNA from 1 species